GAUGAACGCUGGCGGCGUGCCUAAUACAUGCAAGUCGAGCGAACAGACGAGGAGCUUGCUCCUCUGACGUUAGCGGCGGACGGGUGAGUAACACGUGGAUAACCUACCUAUAAGACUGGGAUAACUUCGGGAAACCGGAGCUAAUACCGGAUAAUAUAUUGAACCGCAUGGUUCAAUAGUGAAAGACGGUUUUGCUGUCACUUAUAGAUGGAUCCGCGCCGCAUUAGCUAGUUGGUAAGGUAACGGCUUACCAAGGCGACGAUGCGUAGCCGACCUGAGAGGGUGAUCGGCCACACUGGAACUGAGACACGGUCCAGACUCCUACGGGAGGCAGCAGUAGGGAAUCUUCCGCAAUGGGCGAAAGGUUGACGGAGCAACGCCGCGUGAGUGAUGAAGGUCUUCGGAUCGUAAAACUCUGUUAUUAGGGAAGAACAAAUGUGUAAGUAACUAUGCACGUCUUGACGGUACCUAAUCAGAAAGCCACGGCUAACUACGUG
rnacentral:rRNA from 1 species